UGAAAGACAUCGUCAAAAUACUCCAUGUGCCAUCAGUGGUUCAAACAGUAUUUUAUGAAGCAACUGGAAUACUUUUUGCACACAAGAAAAACAAAAUACUGAACAAAAGACACAUUUGGUGUACAUGAUUAAUAAGAAAAUUGUAAUAUUUUAUUAAAUAUAUAUUAUGUAGUAUAUUGUAACACCACGCCAGCGGAGGGAGCCGUCACCGAAGUACUGACUCGGAUCCACUUCCUCUGCAAUCACUUCCUGUUUGGACAGCAUAAAGCCAGAGCUCACAAACUACUACCAGCUCACCCUGCUUUACUAAGCAUUCUCAUUGUCCAUUCUGGCUGCUGUUUGUGUAUGAUCUCUGCCUGUUUAAGAAAAAAUUAUUAUUAUUCAGAAUGUGUCGUCCAUGUGGCCUGCUGUGCAUGAGACAUGAUGCAAUGGUGGCUCAAGACCAAGGUGUUUUCCCAGAGGGUUGGGGUUGUGUUGUCAUGUAACGAUAACGAAGGACACCACUCUGGAUCUGAGGGAAGGCCGUCUAGAGAAUCUGGAGCUGUGUAACCCUCAUGAAUGAUGCAUCCUGCUGCCUUCUGAUAACAGACCUGUUGUGGAUCCGGCAGAGAGAGAACAUAUUAAAGUUAAAGCACCUGGUGGUCAGGAGCUCUUUCAUGUUUCUUCAGAAAUCCUUCUAAUAUUAUAAUUAUCAAACAUUAUUAUUAUCAAUAUUUCAAAUGCAUUUCUUCCAGAUUAUUUGAUGAAUAAAAGGAUCGAAGGCAUUGUGUUUUUCAGUUCUACCUGCCUGUUUAUUAAUUACCUCAUUUGUUCUCUGUUCAUUUAAGCCAGUAUUUCUCAGUUCCUGUGUCUUGUAUUUAUGUAAUGUGGUGCAUGCUUUGUUGUCUUUGUUCUGCUCCUCGAUUCUCUAAUAACUUAGUUUAAAACUGUUUAUAGGGUUCCCCUUCGUUGUGCGUUUAACUCAGCAUGGCAACACAUGACAACUGGAGUAAUGAUGCAAAAAAACACAAAGAAUGCUUGCAGGAUUGGUGAGCGAAGAGAAAAAGCAUAAAUAAAUAAAAUCUCCCUAUUCAAGGAGGUCAAAA